ACGGCGGCCGUUGGGGUACUGCAGCCAACAGUGAAGCCGGCACGGGAGCGCGCACAGACCCCUCACAGCACUGAGUUGUGAUAGUGACGUGUGCAAAACCUCGUCAAUCAUGUCAAGCGACGAAGAUUUUGAUUCGAGCUUCGAGCUGCCAGCUUAGCUGAGAUGCAGACGGCUUUACAGCAUCUGAGCCAGGAGGAGAGGGAUGUCCUCCUUCAGUCGGUGGUGACUCGUCUUCCAGGGGUGAUGCUGGACAUCCUCGAGUUCCGGCACCAGACACCAGGACCACAUCAUCCAGACACAGGGCAGCCUGC